UAGAUACCUGUAAGAACCCAUGGUGGCAAGAGACACACCAUUCCUGUCUUCCUCCUCCCCAAAGCCAAAAAGAAGAGACAGUGAGACAGGAGCUUGACACAUGGUAAUACUUAAGACACCAUCUGCAACUGAACAUAGAAAUGUAACAAGCAGAAGCAACAAUUUCAGGAUAAGGGAGAAGAGGAUGAAGAAGUGAAGGUUCAAAGAGGGGAAGCAGGAAAACUGAAAGGACUCUCUGGCUUCCAUUACCAGAAAAACAAUCUCCUGUGCCCCACAUAACAUGAAUUAAAAAGUUCCUUUCAUAGC